rnacentral:lncRNA from 1 species
UUAUUUCAAAGAGGUUUGGAUUUACAGCCUACAAAUGCUACUGAAGCUGAUGCAAACAACUGCUUAUCGAUGUCCAACAGAAAAGCAUCUCCAAAAUCCAAAAACAAAAUGCAUAUCGCUGACAAGAAUCCAGUUAUUCAUACAAACUUAAACUCUUUUGCUGCACUUUCAAACUUCAAUAUUAACGAGGGAAUCUUCACUGGAGACAAAUUGCAAAUGGCCAAGGAAACAAGUGCAAUCAUUUCAGCAGAGGAAAGAAGACUAUUGG